rnacentral:rRNA from 1 species
CGUUGGCCGGAAUUAUUGGGCGUAAAGAGCUUGUAGGCGGUUUGUCGCGUCUGCAGUGAAAAUCCGGGGCUCAACCCCGGACUUGCUGUGGGUACGGGCAGACUAGAGUGUGGUAGGGGAGACCGGAAUUCCUGGUGUAGCGGUGGAAUGCGCAGAUAUCAGGAGGAACACCCAUNGGGAAGGCAGGUCUCUGGGUCACAACUGACGCUGAGAAGCGAAAGCAUGGGGAGCGAACAGGAUUAGAUACCCUGGUAGUCCAUGCCCUAAACGUUGGANGCUAAGUGUGGGGCUCAUUCCACGANNCUCCGUGCCGCAGCUUAACGCAUUAAGCGNCCCCCCUGGGGAGUACGGCCGCAAGGCUAAAACUCAANNGAAUUG